UGAGCUCGAAGAGCUCAAAAGUAUAAAACAGCUCUUGUUUUGAAUUUGGAGAGCUCAAAAUAAUGAAUAAUUUAUAUUUUUGAGCUCGAAGAGAUCAAAAACAGAGUAACAAGCAAAAUUCGAUCUCUUAGGUAUGAGAUUAGCGGAAAGUUAUAGGGAUGGCCUGCAAGGUCAACCGUCUUUUCUAAUUUUUUUUUAAUUAGAUCUCUUAUUUGUAAAUCUUUUUUAGAGGAAAUAAUUUAAUUUUUUAUUAAUAUUUCAGCACUUGAGUGUUAACAAGUGUGAAAAAAUUAACAUGUGCUGAUAAGGGUUAAAAAAAUGUUUGGCUUUGAAUCAGAAACAGAAUUUAAAAAAAUAACCCAGCAAAACGUAAGAUACUCAACAUCACCAUUCUCGAAAUUUGAAUAAAAAUUAAAAAUUCUCGAUUGAACUUAAAAAUUAAGGGUGCCGAAUAAACAAGUGGAGGUUGGUUAUUCGUAAUCCUCCAUAUCUCGAAGUACGAAGUACCAACAAUAACUACUACUGGCAUGAGCUCUUCAGUAAAUCGUGCAGAAAAAGUUUCUGCGGAAAUUUGAGCUCUUAUAUGAGUUAAUUUUAGAAUUUGAGAUGCAGGUCAUGUAACAUUAACAUUCUUAUAUAAAAUAAUCGAAAUUUUUUUUUCCGAUCCGAUGCCGGCUAACAAUUUAUUGUUAGCUACAGUUUGGGUAAAAUUUUUGAAAAUUUUAUCCCCAAAUUAGACUCAGAUCAUUAGUUUUAUAAAAUAUUAUUUUUAUUAUCCGUGCUAAUUUAUUUCUGAUCGGAUGCCGACUAACAAUUUAUUGUUAGCUAUAAUUUGGGUAAAAUUUUUGAAAUUUUUUCCCAAAUUAGGCCAGAUCAUUAGUUUUAAAUAGAUUUUAAAAUAAUAAUUUUAAGUCUGAAUAAGAAUAUAUCGAUCGGAUGCCGGCUUACACUUUUAAAUGAGUUGUAAUAUGGAUAAAAUUUUUUUAUUUUAUUCCAUGUUAGGCCAGAUCGUUAUUUUUAAAUGAAUUCUAUAUUAAAAAUUAGAUAAGUUUAUAUAUAAGAGUAUAUUAUAACGAUCAGAUGCCAGCUUAUAUUUUCAUAUAAGUUAUAAUUUGGAUAAAAUUAUUACUAAUUUUAUCCCAAAUUAGGCCAGAUCAUUAGUUUUAUAAAAUAUUAUUUUUAUUAUCCGUGCUAAUUUAUUUCUGAUCGGAUGCCGGCUAACAAUUUAUUGUUAGCUAUAAUUUGGGUAAAAUUUUUGAAAUUUUUUCCCAAAUUAGGCCAGAUCAUUAGUUUUAAAUAGAUUUUAAAAUAAUAAUUUUAAGUCUGAAUAAGAAUAUAUCGAUCGGAUGCCGGCUUACACUUUUAAAUGAGUUGUAAUAUGGAUAAAAUUUUUUUAUUUUAUUCCAUGUUAGGCCAGAUCGUUAUUUUUAAAUGAAUUCUAUAUUAAAAAUUAGAUAAGUUUAUAUAUAAGAGUAUAUUGUAACGAUCAGAUGCCAGCUUAUAUUUUCAUAUAAGUUAUAAUUUGGAUAAAAUUAUUACUAAUUUUAUGUCAAAUUAGGCCAGAUCAUUAGUAUUAAUUAAAUAAAUUUUAUUUGAAACAAAAUUUAUGUUAGAAUAUAUUGUAUUGAUCAGAUGCCGGUUUACAUUUUUAUGUAAAAUAUAAUUUGUGAAUAAUUUAUUAAAUUAUCUCAAAUUAGGUCAGGUCAUUAAAUUUAAAUUAAUUUUAUAUUAUAAAUAUUGUGUUUUUUAUUUGUCAGAGCAGAUAUGAAGAGUAGCACGAUUAUUAUUCUAUAUUUUAAAUGUUCAUUUUUUAAUUAAUUUUUUUUUAUAAGUAACGGAGUCUGCCUUAUCUUUGUAGAUAAUGCAGUUAUCUUUAUAUGAAGAUCGCGCUACUCAUCAUUUCUCCUUAAAUAUUUAUUUUUCUCGCCGUCAGAUGUCAUCAAUAGUGGUGGCAUCUAAAAAGAACAUGGCGGCGUCCAUACCAAAAUUCUACUACCGUUACCCCUUAAGGU
rnacentral:lncRNA from 1 species